AAAAAUUCUCUUCUUCUCACUUUUUGAAUUAAACUAUUCUUCUAUUUCAAAUUGGCCAUCUAAAUUAAACAAGAUUAAGGUCUCUGUGGGAUCGAUACUCACUUACCCUGUCUACAAGUUCUUAUCAAUUGAGAAAAGGGAAGUAAAUUUUAAAUUGACGGAUUCGACACCCGUCAAAUUUUGGCGCCGUUGCCGGGGAC
rnacentral:lncRNA from 1 species